UACGUAGGGCGCAAGCGUUGUCCGGAAUUAUUGGGCGUAAAGAGCUCGUAGGCGGUUUGUCGCGUCUGCUGUGAAAUCCCGAGGCUCAACCUCGGGCUUGCAGUGGGUACGGGCAGACUAGAGUGCGGUAGGGGAGACUGGAAUUCCUGGUGUAGCGGUGGAAUGCGCAGAUAUCAGGAGGAACACCGGUGGCGAAGGCGGGUCUCUGGGCCGUAACUGACGCUGGAGGAGCGGAAAGCGUGGGGAGCGAACAGG
rnacentral:rRNA from 1 species